GGGCCAGUGGCGCAAUGGAUAACGCGUCUGACUACGAAUCAGAAGAUUGUAGGUUCAACUCCUACGUGGCUCG
rnacentral:tRNA from 2 species